ACAACCGGGCCCUGAUGGCUAAAAGAAUGYGCAAGGUCAAAAUCUUACAGUGAAAAAAUAGUGGAAAAUAAUGUAGCGAAAAGAUAAAAAAUGAUAUUAGGUAKACCCUUUUGUUUUCAUAAAAUUUUGGGAUAAAGUAUGCUAGCCAAAGUUCUGAGAUAAAGAAGCUAGAACCCCCCGGCCCUAGCAAGAGUUUGCUUUUCCCCUACCCCCGAACUAGMUAGCAAAGAAUUUAGCCACGUGACUAUGCAAUGACUAUCUACAAAUAUUAAAAGAAUCGUUUAAGUUUUUGGGUUAUUUCAUUAAUGGAUCAGUUUUGCUGGCACCCURGUGAGUUAGAUAUUGCACAAGAGAGCAGAAAAUUAAAUUCAAAAAGAUCCAUUCUUGUUUUUUGAUCAUAUUUCUGAUUAACUUGUAAAUCUCCUUACAUGACGUAUAUGGUAUUUCCCGAUAGGCAUUGCAGGUCCAUAAUGUAAAGUAAAAAAGAGCAAAUUUCGAAUCCACAAGGGAAUUUAAAAAGCUUAAUGUACAAAAAAAUACCCGGAAUAGAAAUAUGCAUCAAAAGAUUAAAGAAUGACUAAGUUUGAAUYGUAAAUUUGUGAAGGAUAUAGAGCUAGUAUAUAUUGGUAUAUUUUGUGUUUAAAAUAUGUGGAUAAUUUGAUUAAUCGAUACUGUGGUAUUUAAAGUCACUCGGCACGUGUUCUUAUGUAAUCAAUUUUUGAACAAGCUCGUUCGCGUCUUUGGAUAGUCGGUGAAAUAAAAGCAUUGAAUAAGGAAUAUGGAGUCUGGAGUAUCUGUGCGCGUGGUUUUGUUAAAGUUACAAGRUAGAAAUGAAUGUAAAACAUGUAAAACAAUAUACAAGGAAAGGAAGAGGAAGAGGAAGGAAGGAAGGAAUGAAAUAAGAAAGAAAGGAAAAAAUGAAUAAACAAAUGAAGGAAGGACGGAAGGAAGGAAGGAAGGAAGGAACCCGAUUAUUUUUGCCAUCUUCCUUCGUGGACAUGUAGCAAUGCCCUGGCAAAUAGAUUUGCGCGCAAAUCUGCUCGACCAUACGGGAAAGCCGGGUUGUCGUGCUUUAUUUCCAUCCUUCACAAAACAUAAAACRCCUCGAUUUAGUGCCGUGGCUUUUAUCAGCCCACAUGUUGUCCUGAGGUUAAUGAGAAGUUUUUAUAUGAGUUUUUCACUUUAAAGGGUUCCGUACAUUCCUUAGUCCACAUUGUUCCUGUCCGUACCAUGACCAUUUGCGAACCUGAUUGCCUAAUAACGCGUUGACGCUUGUAGACUCAAAGGUCAGCAAUAAUACCAAAUAAUACRCUAAAACAUGUGCCAACACUUCUUUCGUAGCUUGAAUAAACACCUAAGUAUAAUUCUUACCAAGUUGAAGGUAAUUCAGCUAGCGGAAGCAAGUGUGUGUCGGUCAUGAUGUAGGACGUUGACAGGGGACGCAUUUGUGGUUUUCACUUGUACGAAAAGAUGGAGAUGUUACCUCAURGACGGAAUGAGAGGGGGAAAUGAGUACCACUGACUCAACUAAUAAUAAAGUACCCCUAUAUUGGUAUCAGGGGAUUAUUAAUCAAGAGAAUACUAUUGAGAGAAUGCCUCAAGGGGAUGGCUAGAGGUCUGAGAAAAGAAAAUAAGAUCAAGUACCGUAAUUAAAUCGACACGCAUGCCAGUAACCUGCAUGUGCUCCACCUCCGAGUUCCCGGAUGUCAAAACAAGGAAGGACUAAUGAUGUUUAUCAGUUCCGAAAGAUAACGCAAUCAAAAUACAAGUGAUAUCUUUGAAGAACUGACAACUGGAUUGCUCGUCAAUGGAAACACACGAAGGCAACAGUCACAGUACCUUAAGGCCAACCAGAGUGUCCAAGAAAAUARCAAAAGAGGACAUCUAUGUAGAAUACUGUCUGAUGAUUGUAAUGAUUGGAUGCUACGUUGUACUGGCUGUCUUCAGGCACAUGUUGAUGUCACUGGUGCUGGACACUGACAAUAAAGAUGUGUAAAUAUGAGUGAAAAAAUUGGCAAAUCAUGAGGUCAAAAAGCAAGUUCCCUUGACUUGUCAGUUUAGAUGAGAAAUAUUUGGCUCAUGGAGGCAAGCAUUCAAGCACUUAGUACUUUGUUUUCUCAGAAAAUUAAGGUUGUGUUGUUCUCCCCUGGGGAACUUAAGUAUGUUAUUGACUGUUAUUGGACUUGAAGAAGAUUUCCUUGUUGAGAAAAUGAAAAAAGGUUGGAAAAAUCUAGUCAUAAUCACUAAGAGAAUUAACCCUUUUCCAUGCAAAUGCAAGCUUUUUCUAACGUCAACAAYUUUUUUGGGAGCAUAAGUUUCAAGGAAGAUGGAUCCAGAAAUCAAAGACGAAUGAUAUCAUGUUACAAAAUACGAUUUUGUAUUAUGUUUCACUUUGUCCCUGUUAUUUUWUUAUUUUCUCUUUUUUUGAGUUAUUUUUAUGUUAAUUAACUUGUUUUUAGUGAAGAGAAUGAUCAAUAUAGUUGGUAGUCUUGAGGCAUGAACAUUUGUCCUUUUUAGUUAUGUGAAACGUUAUUGUACUUUUGACGGCUCUACGAGAUUGACAACCCCGUUCCAAAACGGUCUUCUGAAGCAAGUUUGCCGUUGGUUCAUCAAAAAUGUAUUGAGUUUAUUACUAUUAUCAUUAUUUUUUGGUCUACGGAAGACAAAAAAACGUAAAGAUGUAUUGACAUAAGGUUAUCAAAAACACAGAAAUAGCAAAUUGCCACAUGGCGCGCAGCACCRAAAACAUCGCCAGCGCUGAUGUGUUUUUAAGAUAUUUCGUACGCACUUUGACCUGUGUUCUUUGCACUCAGCAUUACAAGCCAAAGCCAAUUUAAAGCUAGUUAUUGACUGUUGACGACCUUAUUUUUCUAUUAAAAAGUUAAGCAGGAUAUGAAA